rnacentral:lncRNA from 13 species
GAGGUUGUCGGGUGAAGGACCUUUCAACGAGCCUUCGGCACACACCCAGGGCUGAAGACAUUGAUCCUUGCACACUCACCCUGCUUGCCCACGGCUCUCCAGGACAGCUAGGUCCCCUCUGGCUAAGAGAGAAUGAGGGUGUCAGGCCUCAGGACAGUCUUCCUGAGGUGAGUGUGAACUUUACUCUUUAUCCCCUGUCUCCAGCCACGUCAUAGAGGUCCUGACCUUUCAGCUUAUCUCCCCUGCCAAUUCCACUCAGUAAGAAGGAGUGUGGUGAUUGAUUAGCAAUGUCUGCCAUGGACUGGGUGAAGGAAGGGUGGCAUGCAUGUCAUUGCCACUUGCUAUGUAUUUGCUAUUCCUCCUUUGUAGGUGUCCUCUGAGACAGAAAGAAGUUCUAGGGUCAUGUGUGGUAAAGAAAAUCGGAGAGACUUUUGGGGUUGGGACACACAGUAAAACAGUUUCAUUUCCCCCAGGAAAAGCCAGCCAGAAAAAGUUAGACUGGCCCUGUUCUUUUGGGUGACUUUGGACAAGGGAACAGGAGCCCGAGGGAUUAAGGGGGAGGGUGUGCUAAUACUGCUGUAUCCUCGUAGGGGGCCAGGGCAUUUCACAAAGGACAAAAAUAGACAGGAGAGAGGAGAAAGACAAAGAGAUGGCUCCUGGAAUCCUUUCGGGAAUGAAGGUGUGUGGCCAGCAAGGGCCUCGGAGGCUGGUUUUGAACUCCCAGCCUCAAGCCAUCCUCCUGCCUUGGCCUUUCAAAGUGCUGGAUUAUAGGCAUGAGCCACUGUGCACAGCCGAGACACAGUUUUACAUGGUGUCUUCAGUGGUCAGGAAGCCUCCUGGAGAAAACGACAUUUGAACAAAGACACGAAGAAAGUGGAGAAUAUUUGGGGAAGAGCAUUUCAGGCAGAGGAAGCUGCCAGGGCAGAGGCCCGAGGAUAUGCAACUUCCUCGUGGACACAAAAUGGCUGCUGCAGCUCCAGGCCACACAUCCACCUUCUGUGUAGACAGAAGUCACUGGGAAAGGCAAGAAGAAAACGAUUCUCCCCUAACAAGAACCUCUCCAGUUUCAGCUUUCUUUGUGGGGCAGUGGAGCGGCAGCGUUCAGUAUUCAGAGAACCCACAGUCACACUCCGCUUAGAGAAGGUUGGCCUCUGGGGAUGUCUUUUGAUCAUCUCUACUCAAUGUGACCAUCUUAAGGCAGGAGGAAGCAACAGAAAGCAGGGAAGCAGGUGCCCCAGCAGGAGCCCAGUGCCAUGGAAAGAUGAGAAAAGAGGUAGCGAAUGAGACCCCGGAUUCUUAGGAACUUUCUCUACUCCGCUGGUGCAGAUGAUGGAGGGUUUGAGGAGUGUCAGUGAAUGCUCUGUGUGGACUGGACUGGGACCAGACUGGGACUGGAACUCUCUUGGUGGGGGACAACUUUGACCAAGACAUCUUUAGGGUCUGCCAAGUCCUCAGCAGGGGUUUUAUGAUGUGCCUUGAGAUUCCCAAAUGAGAAGGGCAGUGGGAUUCUUCCCUCUGCAGCCAGGACCACAUCUGUGCUUUUUCGUAAUUGUGGAGGGGGAGAAACAAAGGUCUUCCAAAAUUUUCUGAUGGAAUAUAUGCUCAGAGCCCUAAAAAAGAAAAAGAAAUGAGUAGAAGGAGAACAAAAAUGAUCUGGAGUUCCAGUCCCCGCAAAUGAGCAUGGUUAACAUUUCUUCUAGACUUCUAAUGUAUUCAGACACAUGCACUUUCCGCCCCCAUACUGUACAUAUUGUCUCUUAAUCUGCAUCUUUUUCACUUAAAAUAUGUCAUGCACACCUCGGCAUGUCAAUAAAUAUAGAAGAAUGUCGUCCCUUUUAAAGUUC